rnacentral:rRNA from 1 species
UUUGCGGGUGCUAUAAUGCAGUCGACGAACUCUGGUAUUGAUUGGUGCUUGCAUCAUGAUUUACAUUUGAGUGAGUGGCGAACUGGUGAGUAACACGUGGGAAACCUGCCCAGAAGCGGGGGAUAACACCUGGAAACAGAUGCUAAUACCGCAUAACAACUUGGACCGCAUGGUCCGAGCUUGAAAGAUGGCUUCGGCUAUCACUUUUGGAUGGUCCCGCGGCGUAUUAGCUAGAUGGUGGGGUAACGGCUCACCAUGGCAAUGAUACGUAGCCGACCUGAGAGGGUAAUCGGCCACAUUGGGACUGAGACACGGCCCAAACUCCUACGGGAGGCAGCAGUAGGGAAUCUUCCACAAUGGACGAAAGUCUGAUGGAGCAACGCCGCGUGAGUGAAGAAGGGUUUCGGCUCGUAAAACUCUGUUGUUAAAGAAGAACAUAUCUGAGAGUAACUGUUCAGGUAUUGACGGUAUUUAACCAGAAAGCCACGGCUAACUACGUGCCAGCAGCCGCGGUAAUACGUAGGUGGCAAGCGUUGUCCGGAUUUAUUGGGCGUAAAGCGAGCGCAGGCGGUUUUUUAAGUCUGAUGUGAAAGCCUUCGGCUCAACCGAAGAAGUGCAUCGGAAACUGGGAAACUUGAGUGCAGAAGAGGACAGUGGAACUCCAUGUGUAGCGGUGAAAUGCGUAGAUAUAUGGAAGAACACCAGUGGCGAAGGCGGCUGUCUGGUCUGUAACUGACGCUGAGGCUCGAAAGUAUGGGUAGCAAACAGGAUUAGAUACCCUGGUAGUCCAUACCGUAAACGAUGAAUGCUAAGUGUUGGAGGGUUUCCGCCCUUCAGUGCUGCAGCUAACGCAUUAAGCAUUCCGCCUGGGGAGUACGGCCGCAAGGCUGAAACUCAAAGGAAUUGACGGGGGCCCGCACAAGCGGUGGAGCAUGUGGUUUAAUUCGAAGCUACGCGAAGAACCUUACCAGGUCUUGACAUACUAUGCAAAUCUAAGAGAUUAGACGUUCCCUUCGGGGACAUGGAUACAGGUGGUGCAUGGUUGUCGUCAGCUCGUGUCGUGAGAUGUUGGGUUAAGUCCCGCAACGAGCGCAACCCUUAUUAUCAGUUGCCAGCAUUAAGUUGGGCACUCUGGUGAGACUGCCGGUGACAAACCGGAGGAAGGUGGGGAUGACGUCAAAUCAUCAUGCCCCUUAUGACCUGGGCUACACACGUGCUACAAUGGAUGGUACAACGAGUUGCGAACUCGCGAGAGUAAGCUAAUCUCUUAAAGCCAUUCUCAGUUCGGAUUGUAGGCUGCAACUCGCCUACAUGAAGUCGGAAUCGCUAGUAAUCGCGGAUCAGCAUGCCGCGGUGAAUACGUUCCCGGGCCUUGUACACACCGCCCGUCACACCAUGAGAGUUUGUAACACCCAAAGUCGGUGGGGUA